ACAAAGCAACAACAAAAAGAGUCAAAGUCAAAGCCAAGCCCGGCACAACAUGACGCAGCAGUCGGAAUCGCAGCUCAGAUAAGAAAAUUUCUGCAUCUGGAACACCCACACUAGCACACCAACACACACACACACACACAGACACACACACACACACACACACACACACAU